GCCUGGGUGGCUCAGUUGUUUAAGCGUCUGACUUCGGUUCAGGUCAUGAUCUCAUUGUCUGUGAGUUCGAGCCCCGCGCCGGGCU
rfam:Felis catus isolate Cinnamon breed Abyssinian chromosome A3, whole genome shotgun sequence.